GAAAGAGCUUAAGGAGAAGCUCUGACAAGGGAUAGACAGUUUACUUAUGGAAACAAGCAGAAAAUUAAAUCUGGUCUCUGCCCAGCAAGCAUCUCACCUCCCACCAUAGCGUCUGGCAGAGAAGUGAGCCAAGGUGGCCCCUGGCGCAGCAAAUGUUUGGCACAUCCAUUUGCACAGGAGGGGGAAGAAGGCGCAUUCUCAAACACCCUUCCCAUCACCUUUCAGGAUCUUAGGUGCCUUCUCUACAGCCAUGGCACAAACCUUUACCACUAGGGGGCGGCUAGACAUUUCGAUUGGCUACCAGGCAAGCGGCCAGCUCAGGACAGGAGCAGUGCUCUGUGAAAGAAUGGAUUCCUGGUUUGUUCUAAGUACAAACAAGGGGGAAAUGCUUCUGCAGGGUUAAAUGAGGUUGACACGCUCCCCGCGGCUGACCAGACAGUCCCUCCUAACUCUUACCCACCCUGGGCAGCUCUCUCAGCGCGGUGUGGGGCGGGAGUGGGAGCUGAUGGGGGGUGCUCUCUAUUCAGACUCUACUUGUUCUAGACUGAGUCACUGGUGGGGGCAGCGGUGUUUGAAAGUGGGCAUCACUCUUGGGCUCCCACAUUGACUGUAGUUUUACGGAAUGUUUGGCUCUCUGCGUGAUGUUUUUACUUACCAAAGACACAGACCUGGGCUUCCUGGGGUCCCCCUUCUGCAGCUGUGAUAAUCAGCAGUCUUCCCAGGACAGAGUCAGGUUCUGUUGCCCAGGCUGGAGUGCUGUGGCAUGAUCUCGGCUCACUGCAACCUCCG
rnacentral:lncRNA from 10 species